rnacentral:tRNA from 1 species
AAUAAAGUGGCUGAAUUAGGUAUUAAACUGUAAAUUUAAUAAUAAGAGUAAUUUCUUCUUUAUUA